rnacentral:rRNA from 1 species
UACGUAGGGUGCAAGCGUUGUCCGGAAUUAUUGGGCGUAAAGAGCUCGUAGGCGGUCUGUCGCGUCUGCUGUGAAAAUCCAGGGCUCAACCCUGGACCUGCAGUGGGUACGGGCAGACUAGAGUGCGGUAGGGGAGAUCGGAAUUCCUGGUGUAGCGGUGAAAUGCGCAGAUAUCAGGAGGAACACCGGUGGCGAAGGCGGGUCUCUGGGCCGUAACUGACGCUGAGGAGCGAAAGCAUGGGGAGCGAACAGG